rnacentral:rRNA from 1 species
GACAGCAGGUCCAAGCGUUAGGCGGAAUCGACUGGGCUUAAAGCGUGUGUAGGCGGAUCGUUAAGUGUCUUGUGAAAUCCCACGGCUCACCCGUGGAACUGCUGGGCAUACUGGCGAUCUUGGGCCAACUAGGGGCAGCCGGAACAAGCGGUGGAGCGGUGAAAUGCGUAGAUAUCGAGAGGGACACCUGCGGCGAAGGCGGGUUGCUGGGCUGAUACUGACGCUGAGGCGCGAAAGCCAGGGGAGCGAACGGG